UAAAGGGGUACGCGAGCUGGGUUCAGAACGUCGUGGGACAGUUCGGUCCCGAUCCGGCGCAGGCGUAGGAAAUUUGAGAAGACCGUGCCUUAGUACGAGAGGACCGGGAUGGACGUACCUCUGGUGUACCAGUUGUCCGGCCAAGGGCAUGGCUGGGUAGCUAUGUACGGAAUGGAUAAGCGCUGAAAGCAUCUAAGCGCGAAGCCAACUUCAAGAUAAGAUUUCCCACCGCAAGGGUAAGACCCCAGAAAGACUAGCUGGUUGAUAGGUCGAAGGUGUAAGUGCAGCAAUGUAUUUAGCUUAUCGAUACUAAUAGGUCGAGGACUUGACCAAU
rnacentral:rRNA from 1 species